GCAAUACGGCAUAUAGUGGCGGACGGGUGAGUAAUGCUUGGGUAAUGUACCUUGGACACAGGAAUAGCGUCGGGCUCCGAAAGGAGUCCUUUGCGAAAGUGACGGUAAUACCUGAUGAAGUCUUUGAAAGGCAUCUUUCGAUUUCCAAAAGGCGGGGACCGCAAGGCCUGCCGGUCUGAGAUCAGCCCAAGUCCUAUCAGCUAGUUGGUGAGGUAACGGCCCACCAAGGCAUCGACGGGUAGCCGGUCUGAGAGGAUGGUCGGCCACAUCGGAACUGAGACACUGUCCGGACACCUACGGGUGGCUGCAGUAACGAAUAAUCCGCAAUGGGCGAAAGCCUGACGGUGCGACGCCGCGUGUGGGAGGAAGUCCUUCGGGAUGUAAACCACUUUUAGGGAGAUGCAAACGUAGCGGGCUAAUAUCCCGCGAGUUGAGCUAUUCCAGAAAAAGCCUCGGCUAACUCUGUGCCAGCAGCCGCGGUAAUACAGAGGAGGCAAGCGUUGUUCGGAAUCACUGGGCUUAAAGCGCGUGUAGGCGGUUUCGCAAGUACCUUGUGAAAUCCCACGGCUCACCCGUGGAACUGCAGGGUAUACUGCGAAACUUGAGGCAGGUAGGGGCCACUGGAACUCCAGGUGGAACGGUGAAAUGUGUAGAUAUCUGGAGGAACGCCCGCGGCGAAAGCGGGUGGCUGGGCCUGUCCUGACGCUGAUAUGCGAAAG
rnacentral:rRNA from 1 species